rnacentral:rRNA from 1 species
AGCAGCCGCGGUAAUUCCAGCUCCAAUAGCGUAUAUUAAAGUUGUUGCAGUUAAAAAGCUCGUAGUUGAAUUUCGGGACCAAUUUGUUGGUCGUGCCUCGGUACGUACUGGUAUUAUUGGUUUCUCCCUUCUGAAGAACCUUGAUGUCAUUAAUUUGGUGUCUUGGGGAAUCAGGACUGUUACUUUGAAAAAAUUAGAGUGUUUAAAGCAAGCAUACGCUUGAAUACAUUAGCAUGGAAUAAUGAAAUAGGACGUUUGAUUCUAUUUUGUUGGUUUCUAGGAUCGACGUAAUGAUUAAUAGGGAUAGUUGGGGGCAUUAGUAUUCAAUUGUCAGAGGUGAAAUUCUUGGAUUUAUUGAAGACUAACUACUGCGAAAGCAUUUGCCAAGGAUGUUUUCAUUAAUCAAGAACGAAAGUUAGGGGAUCGAAGACGAUCAGAUACCGUCGUAGUCUUAACCAUAAACUAUGCCGACUAGGGAUCGGAUGAUGUAAUUUUUAAUGACUCAUUCGGCGCCUUACGG